rnacentral:rRNA from 1 species
GUUGCAGGGACAACAUUGAACUAUUUUCUGGGCGACCAGAUCAACAAGGCGGAGGUUCUCUUCUUGGGCGUCGGAUGCUUUCUGAUUGCAGCCUGCCUAGGCUCACUUGUUCACUCCUCCAAUGCUGCUGACAACCAGGAGAAGCUAUUAAACUCCAGAAACUCUGUUGGGAACACUGCAAAGUAAGAUCUCACCCAGCACCUUCUUCAAGAAGAAGAACCAAAGGAUUGUGAAGCAGCAAAGCCUGCAGUACCAUAUAAAGCCGUGGAGAAAGCCGAGGCAGGAACGGCAGAUUUCCUCGUCGACCUCGAGGACAAGAGAUCAAUCAAGGUUCUCGGGUCCAACACGCUGGUGGGGCUGGCGAUCGUGAUGUUCGCGGGGGUAUGCUACUCGCUGUUCGCGCCGGCGUUCAACCUGGAGACCAACGAUCAGUGGCACAAGCUGCGCGACGGCGUGCCGCACCUGGUGGUCUACACCGCCUACUUCUACUUCUGCCUCUCCUACCUGGUGGUGGGCGUGGCGCUCAACGUGUUGUGCCUCUACCGCCCCUUGACCGGCGUGCCGCGAUCCACGAUCCACACUGCGGGCUUACGGCGGCGACCGGGAGGGGAGAGGGGGAUGGCGCUGCUGGCGGGUCUGGUGUUCGGGCUGGGCAACGCGUUCGCGUUCAUGGCCGGGUACGCGGCGGCGGACUCCGUGCAGGGGCUGCCGCUGGUGAGCAUGCGCUGGGGCGUGUUGCUGUUCGGGGAGUACCGCAGGUCGUCGAGGAGGGCCUACACGCUGCUGGAGAGCAUGCUCUUCAUGUUCGUCGUCGCCAUGGCCGUGCUCAUGGCCUCGUCCGCGCACAGGAAGCCGCCCUGA